rnacentral:rRNA from 1 species
GUGGGGAAUAUUGGACAAUGGGCGAAAGCCUGAUCCAGCCAUGCCGCGUGUGUGAAGAAGGUCUUCGGAUUGUAAAGCACUUUAAGUUGGGAGGAAGGGCAUUAACCUAAUACGUUAGUGUUUUGACGUUACCGACAGAAUAAGCACCGGCUAACUUCGUGCCAGCAGCCGCGGUAAUACGAAGGGUGCAAGCGUUAAUCGGAAUUACUGGGCGUAAAGCGCGCGUAGGUGGUUCGUUAAGUUGGAUGUGAAAGCCCCGGGCUCAACCUGGGAACUGCAUCCAAAACUGGCGAGCUGGAGUACGGUAGAGGGUGGUGGAAUUUCCUGUGUAGCGGUGAAAUGCGUAGAUAUAGGAAGGAACACCAGUGGCGAAGGCGACUACCUGGACUGAUACUGACACUGAGGUGCGAAAGCGUGGGGAGCAAACAGGAUUAGAUACCCGGGUAGUCC